GUGUGUCGCCAGGUGUGUUCCCUCCUGCCCAGGUGUGUCACCUGGUGUGUCCUCACAACUCCAGGUGUGUCUCUAUCCCCCAGGUGUGUCGCCAGGUGUGUUCCCACCUGCCCAGGUGUGCCCCAGGUGUGUCCCAAGUGCGUCUCUAUCCCCCAGGUGUGUCCCCAGGUGUGUCCCAUCCUGCCCAGGUGUGUCCCAGGUGUGUCCCCAGGUGUGUCUCUAUCCCCCAGG